rnacentral:rRNA from 1 species
CUGGCGGCGUGCUUAACACAUGCAAGUCGAACGGGGUGUUUAUUUCGGUAAACACCAAGUGGCGAACGGGUGAGUAACGCGUAAGCAAUCUACCUUCAAGAUGGGGACAACACUUCGAAAGGGGUGCUAAUACCGAAUGAAUGUAAGAGUAUCGCAUGAGACACUUACUAAAGGAGGCCUCUGAAAAUGCUUCCGCUUGAAGAUGAGCUUGCGUCUGAUUAGCUAGUUGGUGAGGGUAAAGGCCCACCAAGGCGACGAUCAGUAGCCGGUCUGAGAGGAUGAACGGCCACAUUGGGACUGAGACACGGCCCAGACUCCUACGGGAGGCAGCAGUGGGGAAUCUUCCGCAAUGGGCGAAAGCCUGACGGAGCAACGCCGCGUGAACGAUGAAGGUCUUAGGAUCGUAAAGUUCUGUUGUUAGGGACGAAGGGUAAGAAUAAUAAUACGGUUUUUAUUUGACGGUACCUAACGAGGAAGCCACGGCUAACUACGUGCCAGCAGCCGCGGUAAUACGUAGGCGGCAAGCGUUGUCCGGAAUUAUUGGGCGUAAAGGGAGCGCAGGCGGGAAACUAAGCGGAUCUUAAAAGUGCGGGGCUCAACCCCGUGAUGGGGUCCGAACUGGUUUUCUUGAGUGCAGGAGAGGAAAGCGGAAUUCCCAGUGUAGCGGUGAAAUGCGUAGAUAUUGGGAAGAACACCAGUGGCGAAGGCGGCUUUCUGGACUGUAACUGACGCUGAGGCUCGAAAGCUAGGGUAGCGAACGGGAUUAGAUACCCCGGUAGUCCUAGCCGUAAACGAUGGAUACUAGGUGUGGGAGGUAUCGACCCCUUCCGUGCCGGAGUUAACGCAAUAAGU